rnacentral:lncRNA from 1 species
GAGUUAUGAAUUCCCUUCCUGGUACAGCUGCAGAGCCGCAGAGCCCUAUGAAAGGAGCCAAAAGAGCAGCAGACAAGGAGGAGGAGGAGGAAGAGGAAGAGGAAGAAGAGGAAGAGGAAGAGAAGGAGGAGCAACAGGAGAAGGAGGAGGAGCAGCAGCAGGCAGAGGGUCUUAAAAGACAGAAACUAUUGGAUAUUUUUAUUUACAUCUUAAAUGUUAUCCCCUUUCCCUCUUUCCCCUCUGGAAACCUCCUAUCUCAUCCCCCCUACCCCUGCUUCUGUGAAGGUGCUCUCCACCCACC